GAUGAAGAACGUAGCGAAAUGCGAUACGUAAUGUGAAUUGCAGAAUUCAGUGAAACAUCGAGUCUUUGAACGCACAUUGCGCCCCCUGGUAUUCCGGGGGGCAUGCCUGUCCGAGCGUCAUUGCUGCCCUCAAGCACGGCUUGUGUGUUGGGCCUCCGUCCUCCUCCCGGGGGACGGGCCCGAAAGGCAGCGGCGGCACCGCGUCCGGUCCUCGAGCGUAUGGGGCUUCGUCACCCGCUCUUGUAGGCCCGGCCGGCGCUUGCCGACACAUCAAUCUUUUUUCCAGGUUGACCUCGGAUCAGGUAGGGAUACCCGCUGAACUUAAGCAUAUCAAUAAGCGGAGGA
rnacentral:misc_RNA from 1 species